UCCCGAGUGGCUCAGUUGGUAAAGAAUCUGCCUUUAGUGCAGGAGACCCGGAUUCAGUUCCUGGGUCGGGAA
rnacentral:tRNA from 1 species